AGAUCAUACAAGACGUUACAGGCUGAUUGCAUGUGGAAACAGACUUGCGUUAAAAUAAUGUUGAAUACUUAAUAAGCAUUGUUUGAUUUUAUUUGUUAGAGAACACUUUAGCAAAACAUUUAGCAACAUAAUUAUUUUAGUUCAGUUAGUUCCUUCGUGUUUCAGUUCAUAUUCUUCAGUUUGGUGCCUCGUGGAUAUGAUUCAUGUCUCCGUGGAAACAUCAAUGAAAAUGCACUUUGAUUUUUACUCCUCACUUUUUCUGCCCCCUGCUGGAGACUGGAGCACACUGCAGUCCCUUUCAGGUCCAUAGGGUUUUACUGCCCCCUGCUGGAGACUGGAGCACACUGCAGUCCCUUUCAGGUCCAUAGGGUUUUACUGCCCCCUGCUGGAGACUGGAGCACACUGCAGUCUCUUUCAGGUCCAGAUACUGUAUGUAGAACCAUAGUAAAGCCCAGUAUGGACUAUCAAUACAAAUACUGUAUGUAGAACCAUAGUAAAGACCAGUAUGGACUAUCAAUACAAAGUGACCAUUUAGAAUGAGGCCCAGUUCAAUGAGAGGAAGUCUUAACAGAACUGGGGGAUGACAGACAGGAAGUGGGGGGGUGGAGAUCUAAUAUAUUUUUGUGCCAAACACUAAAGCAUGAUAUUGUAAUAAAUCUACGCCCUAUUCCUACGUAGAACACUACUUUAGACCUGGUCAGAAGCACCGUAGUGCACUACGUAGGGAAUAGGGAACCAUUUGGAACAGAGACAGUAAUUCCCUGAACAUCUUCCUCUUCCUCAUCUGGUUUCUAGAACAGCCCUUCACUCCUCUCUUCCCUUUUCAUUCUAUUCUAUCAGCCACACCACUAGCUCACCUCCACACAAUACAUUUACAAGUUAAAGACACACCUUGGAAUAAAUAACAAAGGAAAACUAUUACUAGAUGAAGUUGAGUGUUUAUUAUUUCCCAUCACCAUAAAUCAUAUUUAAUCACUGAACAGUAGCAGACCUAACUUCAUCUGUUCCUGACUCUGGAUAGUGGAUUAAAAAGACCCAUCAAUCUCCAAUGAUAUUAAAGUACUAUUCUGAACAUUACUGAUAUACUGAGUGGCAAGUCAAGAUAUCUGCUGGUUUUAUUGUUUGUUCAACAGCACCAUCUGCUGGACAGGUUUAAUGUUGCUGGACUGAGCAGUAUGGGAGGAUGAAAGAUGACACAUUUAGGGCCGGUUUCCUGGACAUCUACAUUGAACAUACUGUUUAGUCCAGGACUAGGAUUAAUCUGUGUCUGGGAAACCAGACCAUAUAGUUUAGUAGAAAGUAAGUGAUACCAGCUUGUAGUGGGCUGACUAGUCCUGAAUUGUCCUUUAGUUCCUGGACCAUUUUCCAUGCAGCUCCAGGUGACAGAGAACACAUCAAUUAGGACCGAGCCAACAAGCUGAUCAAUGAUACUGAGGAGAAUUA